rnacentral:rRNA from 1 species
UACGGAGGGGGCAAGCGUUGUCCGGAAUCAUUGGGCGUAAAGAGUGUGUAGGCGGCUCGAUAAGUCCGCCGUGAAAGUCCAGGGCUCAACCCUGGAAUGCCGGUGGAAACUGUCGGGCUGGAGUCCGGAAGAGGCGAGUGGAAUUCCUGGUGUAGCGGUGAAAUGCGCAGAUAUCAGGAGGAACACCAAUGGCGAAGGCAGCUCGCUGGGACGAUACUGACGCUGAGACGCGAAAGCGAGGGGAGCAAACAGG